GCCCGGAUGAUGGAAUAGGUAGACAUACGAGACUUAAAAUCUCGGGGGGCUGUGCCCCGUGCGAGUUCGAUUCUCGCUCCGGGCACCA
rnacentral:tRNA from 1 species